AACGAACGCUGGCGGCAUGCCUAACACAUGCAAGUCGAACGAGACCUUCGGGUCUAGUGGCGCACGGGUGCGUAACGCGUGGGAACCUGCCCUUAGGUUCGGAGUAACUCCCCGAAAGGGGUGCUAAUACCGGAUAAUGUCUUCGGACCAAAGAUUUAUCGCCUUUGGAUGGGCCCGCGUUGGAUUAGCUAGUUGGUAGGGUAAAAGCCUACCAAGGCGACGAUCCAUAGCUGGUCUGAGAGGAUGAUCAGCCACACUGGGACUGAGACACGGCCCAGACUCCUACGGGAGGCAGCAGUGGGGAAUAUUGGACAAUGGGCGAAAGCCUGAUCCAGCAAUGCCGCGUGAGUGAUGAAGGCCUUAGGGUUGUAAAGCUCUUUUACCCGGGAUGAUGAUGACAGUACCGGGAGAAUAAGCUCCGGCUAACUCCGUG
rnacentral:rRNA from 1 species